GUUUCAAAACCCAAAAAAAGCACCGAUGAGUCAAGGUGGAUUUUCCAUGGUUUUCAGAGUUCAACAAACUGAUCAGAAGAAUCUCAAGAACAAUCCCAGUGAAGGCCUUACAUGCAUCUCUGAUUCUUUUUGUCUUUUGACAGUCCACUCUCUUUUCUCAAAUUGUUUGGACGUUUUCCAGAUUAGGAUGAAGGCUAAAAAGUAAUCCCUUUGGAUGCCGACAGUUCCCACAGUAAGGAGUAAGGAGACAAGGUGGUACAAAUCCAGUGAAGGAAGCUGUUGUUUAAGUCAAGUCAUAGACACUGCUGCAAAUUAAAACAGUUAUUUAGUUCUUCAGUUCAAACCAAGUCCCUUCGGAAACAGGCAAUGGGAGCUGAGAGAUCUUUUGAAGCAAGUGGCACACAUUUCUUUAUUUCUUUUGGUAAGCAAUUCCUCUCUGGUAUUCAACUCACAGGAGGUCAUUUAUGUUUAAAAAUAAUUUAUGCUGGGUGAUACUUAAUUUCAGAGCUGUUUCAAGAAGCCCUUUUGCUCUCACAUGAAUACAUUGUCAAUAUGGAGUCAAUCAGACCUCAGCUUACAUAGCUGUAACUGCAUUGUGACUAAAAAUAAAGGACUUGUUGCAUAAUGGAAAGGUUUCUGACAAGCACACUGGUAUUAGUUUGAAAACCACUCUUUCCCUUUCCAAAUAGCAUGAUCUGUCAUUCCUGGAAAAUCACGUUGACAAAUGUGAAAAGGUUUGGAUAAAUACCCUGAGAUUUCAAUAUUUCCAGUGGUUAGUUUAUGCUUAGUAAACAUACAAGUGUCAUGUUUCCCCUUUCAUACUGCACUUC
rnacentral:lncRNA from 1 species